rnacentral:rRNA from 1 species
CCUACGGGUGGCUGCAGUGGGGAAUAUUGGACAAUGGGCGAAAGCCUGAUCCAGCAAUGCCGCGUGUGUGAAGAAGGCCUGCGGGUUGUAAAGCACUUUCAGUAGAGAAGCGUAACCUACAGAAGAAGCACCGGCUAACUCCGUGCCAGCAGCCGCGGUAAUACGGAGGGUGCAAGCGUUAAUCGGAAUUACUGGGCGUAAAGCGCGCGUAGGCGGCUUUGUAAGUCGGAUGUGAAAGCCCUGGGCUUAACCUGGGAAUUGCAUUCGAUACUGCUUAGCUAGAGUAUGGUAGAGGGAAGUGGAAUUUCCGGUGUAGCGGUGAAAUGCGUAGAUAUCGGAAGGAACACCAGUGGCGAAGGCGACUUCCUGGGCCAUCUGACGCUGAGGCGCGAAAGCGUGGGGAGCAAACAGGAUUAGAUACCCUAGUAGUC